AUCUUUCUAGUAUCAAAUUAAUACAUCUGACUUCCAAUCAGAUAGUCUUGGUUAAAACCCAAGGAAAGAUA
rnacentral:tRNA from 1 species